UACGUAGGGUGCAAGCGUUGUCCGGAGUUACUGGGCGUAAAGCGCGCGCAGGCGGCGGUGCUGGCCCGGCGUGAAAGCCCCCGGCUCAACCGGGGAGGGUCGUCGGGGACCGCACCGCUUGAGGGCGGUAGGGGCUGGUGGAAUGCCUGGUGUAGUGGUGAAAUGCGUAGAGAUCAGGCGGAACACCCGUGGCGAAGGCGGCCAGCUGGGCCGUCCCUGACGCUGAGGCGCGAAGGCGUGGGGAGCGAACGGG
rnacentral:rRNA from 1 species